GGGAAUUCGAUUAUGGCUGUCGUCAGCUCGUGUUGUGAAAUGUUGGGUUAAGUCCCGUAACGAGCGCAACCCCUAUCCUUAUUUGCCAGCACUUCGGGUGGGAACUCUAAGGAGCNCUGCCGGUGACAAACCGGAGGAAGGUGGGGAUGACGUCAAGUCAUCAUGGCCCUUACGAGUAGGGCUACACACGUGCUACAAUGGCCGGUACAGAGGGCUGCAAACUCGCGAGGGUAAGCUAAUCUCACAAAACCGGUCGUAGUCCGGAUUGGAGUCUGCAACUCGACUCCAUGAAGUCGGAAUCGCUAGUAAUCGUGAAUCAGAAUGUCACGUGAUACGNUAUCCCGGGCCUU
rnacentral:rRNA from 1 species